GUUCCGAGGCGCCGCCGGGAGCUGCCACGUCCGAGACCUGGAGCAGCCACCGCCGCAAUCAUGGUGUCAGUAAUUAACACUGUGGAUACCUCCCAUGAGGACAUGAUUCACGACGCCCAGAUGGACUACUAUGGCACCCGCCUGGCAACCUGCUCAUCAGACAGGUCCGUCAAAAUCUUUGAUGUGCGCAAUGGAGGGCAGAUCCUUAUCGCCGACCUCAGGGGGUAAGUGCUGGCGAGCCCAGGGAAGGGCUCCAGGAAUGGUGUGGGUUCUCAGGCCCUGCUUCAAGCGUGGGAGCAAAGCAUGGGAGCCCAGAUUCAGAGCAACCCCAAAGCACAUUUAGCGGAGAGGACGCUGGGAUCCCAGCCAGCCUGGCUGUCCUCAGCGGACGUCCCCAGGGAUGAUGCUGUUAAGGGCACAGGUGGAUACAGGUGUGAAUCUCAGCUCUGCCACUUUAUGUGUACCCACCAGAAGACCUUGGGCAAGUGACUCAGUUUCUCUCUCAGAGCCUUCAUCUGCUCAUCCUCAAAAUUGGGCCAAUGCUACCUCCUAUCCAGCUAGUGUAUGCAAGGCCCUGACACAGGGCCCAGGA
rnacentral:lncRNA from 10 species